rnacentral:tmRNA from 1 species
GGGCCCGUAAAGGUUUCGACGGGGGCCUUGCAGUACGGUAAGCGAGCCGAGAUGGGAUACCUCGUUAAACAAUCUCAAUUUAAAAAUAAACGCUAAUAAUAGAAAAGUAGCACUCGCCGCCUAAGUGCGGCGCGUCCGGCGCGGGAGCACCGCGGCCUGCGUUCGGGCGUCAUUUUGCGGUAAAUGUGCACAGCCCGUUUGCUUUUGAAGCUGUCAUAAACAAAAAAGCUACUCUUUUCACAAGCCUGUUUGCCGGCGUGCGAUAAGGGGAAUCCAAAAGACAAAAUGCGCUCGGAGAAGGCUGUAUGAAUCGGUUUUCGGACAGGGGUUCGACUCCCCUCGGGUCCACCA